CCUGGCAUAGUGUGGGUGCAGCCCUUCCCCCAUCCUCACCCUGCCCUCCUCCCAGCACCCGGCCUGGCUGCCCAGCCACUUCCCAGCACCAGCUUUCAAUGCAGAAUGGAAACUCUGAGAGAGACCAUGUCUCUUUGUAUUUCCCCAGACUGAAUUGUUCACAGCUGGCAGCGUGGCUGAAUGACUCACCCCUCCCGGAAGGAUGCCCAUGUCAACCCGGCAGCUUCAUUCAGGUCAACGCUUGUUCCCCAAACACCUCAUAAGUCCGUGGCUCUCAUCCCUGGCUGCACAGCAGAAUCGGGGUUCAGAAGUGGGUGAAGCAACAAGGCAAGGAAGAGGCAGUGGAAUCAGGAUCUCUGGGGUGAGGCCCAGGCAUCCACUUUUCUUACACAGUCUCUUUCAUAAGCUCAGCAGAGGGUCUUAAGAAGGCCAGAGUGUUUGCUUAAAAUACAGAGUUCAGGCACAGACCCACACCAGGUGAAUCAGACUCUGGGGAUGGGUGGCACAACUUAUACCCUGAACCCCUUUCCCUGCAGGAUUUCUUUCUUUUUUCACAGGAAGGUUUAGAAACUUCUCUAGUUAGAGGAAGCCAGUGUGAGGAAUGAACAAGCCCAGCUGCCCAAGGACGUACCCUUGAGAUGAAAGAAUGGCCAGGAGCUGGAGGAGGCAAGGGCUGAGGGCCAGGAGGACAAAGAGGAAUCUCAGCUGAGGGAGAGACCCAUCAAGCAUGGCAUGCGGGUGAUCACCGUGACCUUCGCAGGGAAGAAGCUGGUAACUCAGUGAGGUCUCGGAACUUGCUAUUACAGAGAGUGGCACUGAGAUAACUCUUGGGAAUGGAUUUGACUUCUGGAAACAGCCAAAAACUAGAUGAGAAAAUGUUCAAAUCAGAGCCACUCCAUAUGUGGCCAGCCUUGCAAAAAGUUCAGUGUCAUUGGUAGAGCAAGAUUUGAAGCUCCAGCUCAAAGGAAUUCUGAUUUUUAGAUGAUGGAAAGAAAGGAAGAAAGAAUCAGAGGAAAGAAAGCAAGAAAGAAACCAAUAGCAUCUAGAAGCAAAGUUCGCCUGUACCUUAAGGGAAAGAAUUUUGUAAGAAAGUUUGUAUUUGCAGAUAACUUCUACAAGUGGUGCCUGUGGCCAACCAGGAACGGGGAGGACCAACAACUGUAGCGAGCCACUUAAGAGCUUCAAAAUUAUAUUUGUCUCAUUUCCCCCAUUUUUAGUGGUUGAAAACACUUCAACACAUUCUUGCUUCUGAGUAUAUAGGAAAUAGGUCAGUGAUGGGACAUGCUCAGGAUUAUAGGCCACUGUGGGAGAUAAGAUCUUUGACACCUGAACAACCUCCUCCAUAAGGCUGUCACUCAGAGCAGCUCCUGGCUAAGACCUGGGAACCAUGCUCUUAAGCUGUGCUGAGAUAGAGUUAGAGGGAAUGUGAAGGAGGGCUUUCCAGAAGGCAGGAGCCUGGAAGAGGGACUUGAGGGUCUUGAAGAAAAGGCACGUGGGCAAGUGUGUCAGGUGGGCCAUGAGGUGAUAACAUUCCCGAGUGCUCCGAACCCUCUGGUUAAAGGACAUUAUUUAACCACAGGUUAUUAUUCUGUCUAUUAUUUGUGUCUGUAAUAACAGCCAUGACAUUAGAUGCUGCAAAGGUCAGCCCUGGGGCUCCUGUUGCCUGACAUGUUUAGUAAGGGUUGGAGGUGGAAAAGAGUUGAUGAAGCUUGCUGUUGAUCUAAACACUUUUCAGCUGGCCACAGCUUGUGUGUGUGUGGGGGUGGGGGUGGGGGUGUGUGUGGGGGCAGGGCUAUGA